rnacentral:rRNA from 1 species
GACGAACGCUGGCGGCGCGCUUAACACAUGCAAGUCGAGCGAUGAGACUCUAACAGUGCGCUUCGCUCGGGAGGCAAACGGGAUUAUCGCCCGACGGGAACGUAACCCGUGAGUAACGUGCCCUACACAUUGCGAUAGCCACUACAAACUGGGAUUUCUAGCAACUAAGAUCAUAAUGACACAUGUCAGCACGAUCAAAACUCCGGUGGUCUAAGCUGGACUCGCGUCCGAUUGGCUAGUGGGUAGAGUAUAAGCCUACCAAGGCGACGAAGGGUAGCCGGGCGGGGAGGGGGACCGGCCACAUUGGAACUGAGGAACGGACCAAACUCCUACGGGAGGCAGCAGUAGGGAAUAUUGCACAAGGGAGGGAACUGUGAUGCAGCGACGCCGCGGGAACGAGGAAGGCGGUCGAGUCGUAAAGUUCUUUUAUAUGGGAAGAUAAUGACGGUACCAGAAGAAGAAGCCCCGGCUAACUACGUG